UUUAUGGAUGAGUGACGUGUGAGCAUAAAAAACCAGAUACACAAUGCUUUUUAGGAUUCCACCAAACUAAACUUUAAUCUAAAAUGAUGUUAGCUGAAUCUAUGCAUAAUACCAGUUCUCCAUUAUGCAUAAAGAUCUAUAGAUCUUGAAUUCACAGACUAAAUAGAAUGAAAUAAGUUCACACAUUGACUCGUAACGAAGCUAAAGGGUAAAUAUAAGCUAAAGAACAAAUUACAACGCACAGAAUAUAUGCUUGAUUGCUUACUAUUUAUUACUAGUUAGACUUGCUUCUAACUGAGAUUGUUAUUUCCUACUACUUUUAGCUAAUUAUUGGUUUUCCCUCUUAGCAUAGGAUGACAAUAAAUUUCAUAAGGAAUAAUAAUAUACUAAGAAAAUUAGUUACUUUACGUGGAUCUAUUAGCUAAAACAUAAACUUUAGCUUUAAAGCAAUUUGUCAGGGGAAAGACUAGAAAUAACAGAGUUCACCAAGAAACAAAGUAGAAUUUUAACAUGGAGAAGGUACACUUGAACAUAAAUUUUUACUACCCCUUCAGAUUAACUGAGCAUAUCUCCAUAACCAAACCAGAA